rnacentral:rRNA from 1 species
CGUAUGCAACCUACCCUUAACUGGGGAAUAACCCUGUGAAAGCGGGGCUAAUACCCCAUAACAUUAUGGUAAGGCAUCUUACUAUUAUCAAAGAUUUAUCGGUUAGGGAUGGGCAUGCGCCCCAUUAGUUAGUUGGUUAGGUAACGGCUAACCAAGACUGUGAUGGGUAGGGGUUCUGAGAGGAUUAUCCCCCACACUGGUACUGAGACACGGACCAGACUCCUACGGGAGGCAGCAGUAAGGAAUAUUGGGCAAUGGACGCAAGUCUGACCCAGCCAUGCCGCGUGCAGGAUGACGGCCUUAUGGGUUGUAAACUGCUUUUGUAUGGGAUUAAAGUGUUGUACGUGUACGACAUUGCAAGUACCAUACGAAUAAGCAUCGGCUAACUCCGUGCCAGCAGCCGCGGUAAUACGGAGGAUGCAAGCGUUAUCCGGAAUCAUUGGGUUUAAAGGGUGCGUAGGUUGAUUAUUAAGUCAGUGGUGAAAAUUCCGGGCUCAACCCGGGACUUGCCGUUGAAACUGAUAAUCUUGAGUGUAACUGAUGUGGGCGGAAUGUGUCAAGUAGCGGUGAAAUGCAUAGAUAUGACACAGAACACCGAUAGCGAAGGCAGCUCACAAAAUUACAACUGACACUGAGGCACGAAAGCGUGGGUAUCAAACAGGAUUAGAUACCCUGGUAGUCCACGCUGUAAACGAUGAUCACUAGCUGUUUGCGAUACAUUGUAAGUGGUUAAGCGAAAGCGAUAAGUGAUCCACCUGGGGAGUACGUCGGCAACGAUGAAACUCAAAGGAAUUGACGGGGGCCCGCACAAGCGGAGGAGCAUGUGGUUUAAUUCGAUGAUACGCGAGGAACCUUACCUGGGCUUGAACGUAUGGUGCAUGAGUGUGAAAGCACUCUUUCCUUCACAGGACUUCAUACGAGGCGCUGCAUGGUUGUCGUCAGCUCGUGCCGUGAGGUGUUAGGUUAAGUCCUGCAACGAGCCCAACCCCUGUUUUUAGUUGCCAGCAGGUUAUGCUGGGCACUCUAGAAAGACUGCCUGCACAAGCAGAGAGGAAGGUGGGGAUGAUGUCAAAUCAGCACG